rnacentral:tRNA from 1 species
UACGGACUUAAAAUCCGUUGGUUUUAAUAGACCUUGAGGGUUCAAGUCCCUCUACCCCCA